AGUUGGAGCCCUUCUGAAUGUCCGUUUGAGCUCAAAUUUGACAGACAUGCUCAGUUUAACGUACUGAGUAAGAAUAUAUCUUAAGUUUUCAGUUUCGACCUCGUUUGGUCACCGAAAACUGUGCCGAACUGUAAUCUUUAGCAGAUAACUCUCGGAUUUUAUUUCUCACUCUACGGGUGUCAGAAAAAUAUGAAACCUUAAAUCUAGCCUCAUAAAAAUAUUUCUGACAUAUCCUCCAAUUUUUAUAAUUUUCUGAGAGUGCAUUUUCUGCUAAUUUUUCUAUCCCGUUUCCAACAAAAAAUUUCAAAUCUUCUGUUUUUAUCCCGAUUUCAGCACAAGUCACUUCUGACUUAUGUUUUACUUCUCUAAAUCCAAUAAAAUAGUAUCUCAUACUAUUUUUUCUUUUUAUAUUUAAAUCCGGUAUAUUACAUUACACCGCAACCUUAUCGGAACCAUUCAAAUAGCUCUCCAACCAAAUGGACACCGUAACCUCAUGAUUUUAGAAGUUCGGUACCUUACAGCGACCGUUGCGGAUUCUUGCUUGGGAGAUGAAAGAAUUGCGCAAUCGGGUCAUCCCGUAUGUAAAAGUGCAGUGGAGUAAUCACGAGGAGCGGGAAGCGACUUGGGAGCUAGAGACGGUGAUGAGGGAGUCCUAUCCCUACUUGUUUGAUGCUCAGGGUUGAGGUACGUAUUAAGUUUCGAGUACGAAACUUUUUGUAGUGAGGGAGGGUGUGGUAUCCCUAGUGUACAGCAGUAGAGGCUUGUCGACAGCUCUGGAGAGUGUCGGGAUAAGUCCGAGUUGUGUUGGUGCGAAAUAGACGCAAAACAGAUUCAGCAGGGACGCGAGAGCAGGAUUUAGCUUUGAAAAUCUGCAAAUUGCAGAUUUUCUACUUGUUGUA
rnacentral:lncRNA from 1 species